AGCAUUCCUCUGCAGGCUGCCUCUUCAAGUAUGUGCCAUAGAGAUAAAAUAUCAGCAUGCAAGUUUUUAAAAUUGAAGAUGUAGGGACUGAAACUGGUAACAGAGGCUGAAUGCAAGGUCUUCCCCUUUCAGUGGAAAGAGAGAACACAUGGAGAGGAUGCAAAAGCUGAGCAAGAGGUUUUUAGAUUCAUCAGGAGCACGCGUAAUCUCACUCAUCAUUACCUUAUUGGUAAACCUAUAGCAAAGUGAAUUGUUCAGAAAUGCUGUGAUGAAGAUAUGAAAAUAAGCAGCUGGAGAAACCAGAAACAUGACUGGAGAUCUGUAUACUGCUGAGGAUUGCUUGGAAAGUUUUACUUCUGAUGAACAAGGCUGCAGAGCUGAGAUUUCAAGUUGAAUGGAAGAAGACCUGAUAUUCAUCGCUAUAUGUUUAAGAUUAGAGCAGCUGCUGCUCUGGAAUGCUUCCUCCCUUUUGAUGCUGGAAAGAUGGACAUCUUGGCCUACUUCAGUCCAGUUUCUUCAGAAUGUUGUCUCCCUCUUACUGUAGUAGACAGUUCCAUAAUAUGACAUCCAACUCCUCUUAACACCUGGAGCUGUCUGGAAUGCUGUAUUGAAGCUUGCUCAGGCCCACAGCCAGCAGUAGCAUGUUCACAGAGGGAAGCAGCCAGAUACCCUGCGGUGUUGCUGAUCAUCACUGUGCUUUUAUCAGCACUAGUACUAGGACCUCAGCUCCACGGUCACAGCCCUGGUAAAUCCUGAUUAAUAAAACCCAAAACUUGCAAGGAGUUCUACUUGCAUCCUGUUUUGUGUCAAGCUCUAUUUCUACUGGGAAACUGUCACAAAUCAUAAAAGUCACUUUUCUACUUAUGAGUCUUACAGAACUCAGCUAUGUAGAUCUCAUCUCACUUAAGCAUUAAUCAUUGUAAUAAAAUGUUCUCAUUGAUUAAAGAAAGAGUACAGUUGGCAGAAAAAUGUAUUCUUUAUCUUGUUCUGAUGGAGCUGCGUACAAACAGCUCACCAUAUCUUCAGCUGCUUGAGUUUACUGCCUAAAUAAUCCUGAGAAAGAAUUCCCAAAUAUGUUAUUUCAGUUCUAAACAAUUGCCUGUUUGUGUUAAUCUCAGGUAAGAUUUUUUACUGUGCCUGCCUCCUACAAUGAAAACAGGUUGUCUAAAAGUCUCCUACAGAGCUGACUUACAUACUCUUCUGAAAAAAUGAUAGCUUCCCCAGCAGCUCACACGCAGCUGAAAUCUGUUUUCACAAACCAUCUUUUGUAGCACGCUUGACAUGCUUUACAUCUGUACAGUGCAAACAAAAGCAACAUAGAGAAGAAAAUAAAAUAAUUUACAGCUCAGAACGAAUAUUCACGAUGAACUGUUUAUGUUAUUCACCCCAUGGCAACAUUUAACACAGAAUCAGAAAUUUGCAGUUUAGGUAAUUGUGAUCACUGAUGAACAAAGAAUUGUUUCCAACCCGUGUUUCGGAUUUGCUUGUUAAACAUUUUACGUGCUCUGUGAGGUUGUCUUCUCUUGAGUUAUUUCGCAGUGCAUGAGUGCCAUCAAAUAAUUAGUUGAAACUUGUGCUUUACUUGAGGAGAAAAAAAAAGAUUUUAAAAAGUAUUUCAGAGCUACUGUUUUCUUCUCUACUACCACUGAAAUGGUGUUACACCCACAAUGACCUGAAGGUGACUGAAAUUGGUAGUAAUAUGGUGGAAAGAAAAGCUGGCUUUUAAGCUGGUAUUUGCCCUAGUGAUGUGGAUACAGUUCUGCCCAGUGUCAUAUGCAGUAUUUUGCUCAUGUAAGUAAGCUUUCCCAUCUCAGGGACAGUGAACAAUAUCUGAGGAAUUUUAUUGCUAAUUGUUGGAGAAGGUACAGAAAACUCACAUAGGAUUUUUCUAAUAUAGAAGCUCAGACUGAUUUGAUUGAAAUUGUUUCAAUACUUUUUAUUCCACACCAUAAUCACUAAUGAUAAACGUAUGGAUCACCUGCUGAAUUAACAUUUUUGCAGUGAAGGUUUUGGCUGAGUCUUCUACCAGCACAGAAGGGUAUAUUAUUUUUUAUGAGCUGAAGGUGAUUUUCUUGCUCUGUGAACAUAACAGAGAUGGUGUAAAGUCUCAGUGUUAAUAGUGAAUAUUGUCAAACAAAUUUGCUAAUGUUUUUCUAUAAAAUAUUAGCAUCUUCUUUGGGGAAUACAUUGUAACAUUGUUUUACAGAUGCAUGUCCUCAUCAAUUGAAUAUAAGACAUAUCCACAUUUCUAGUAUAGGCUACUGCUUCAUAAAUUUCCAAGUUAAUAUUUCCAAACAUUCACUUUUCUUACUCCUGAAGUUCAAUACUGUUUAGUGAUUAUUUGGUAUUUUGCUGCUUCUUCUAGCAUUACUGAUCGUUGAGCAACAUUUUUGGUUCAUUAGAGGUGUUUUCUUAACAAAUAUCCUCUUGAGUAGAUUUUAAGGUUUUUAAGUUGCAACAUUGAGGAGAUUAAAGUAGGAGUGAAAUUAAAUAAGACCUAUUAAAUACAUUGUUUUCUUUACAGGAGCUUGGGAUUUCUUUAUAUUCAUACUUCUUAAUUUUUCAAUAUUCUUUUUAGUUUGAAACAA